UCUGUAGGAUCUGACGACUCCAUUUCUUUUGCACUCGCUUCUGAGAAUAGAUAGAAAAGAGAUGGACGGAGUCCGAGAAAAUAUAAGCCGAAAACCCCACCCCCAACUUAGCUGAACUUUUGGCAAAUCGCGAGCCGUACUAUCACACUUUGACUCCAGGUCCUGGACAGUGAAGACACCCAUUGGAAAAUAACACGAAAACAACAUCCCAAAAUCCAAAAAUGGCCACUCCAAGUGAAACUCAAAGCUUAUUCAUGACCUUCCUGAUUUUGGCAGUUUUGCUGUUCGCUCUGUGGUUGCUGUACGUGGGAUUCGUGUAAAUCAAAUGAUACCCGAUAAAAAACAACAGCUAUAAUAGGAUGAUCCACCUGUUCCAUGACCACGAGCUCUGCGGAAGAACAUGAAUCCUUCCAUUCAACAUCCUUAUCUAUUUAUUUUACUUUAUUUUGUAUAAAGACAUGUUUAUUAAUUUAUUAACGUGAUUUGCA